GAUGAACGCUGGCGGCGUGCCUAAUACAUGCAAGUCGAGCGAACGGACGAGAAGCUUGCUUCUCUGAUGUUAGCGGCGGACGGGUGAGUAACACGUGGAUAACCUACCUAUAAGACUGGGAUAACUUCGGGAAACCGGAGCUAAUACCGGAUAAUAUUUUGAACCGCAUGGUUCAAAAGUGAAAGACGGUCUUGCUGUCACUUAUAGAUGGAUCCGCGCUGCAUUAGCUAGUUGGUAAGGUAACGGCUUACCAAGGCAACGAUGCAUAGCCGACCUGAGAGGGUGAUCGGCCACAGUGGAACUGAGACACGGUCCAGACUCCUACGGGAGGCAGCAGUAGGGAAUCUUCCGCAAUGGGCGAAAGCCUGACGGAGCAACGCCGCGUGAGUGAUGAAGGUCUUCGGAUCGUAAAACUCUGUUAUUAGGGAAGAACAUAUGUGUAAGUAACUGUGCACAUCUUGACGGUACCUAAUCAGAAAGCCACGGCUAACUACGUG
rnacentral:rRNA from 1 species